rnacentral:rRNA from 1 species
AUGAGUAUGGGCGGUGUUAUUGCUAAGCGGUUGAGUCUGAACCGUACAAAGGGCCCCAUCUUUGAUGGUAUCUAUGCUUCACGCCUAGCCGCACAUUUUAACAUACCUAUUAGGCAUUAUGAGAAGGAAGAAAAAUUGCUGCCUCGUGUUUAUUUAGAUUAUAAGAGUAUGGUAGCACAUGAUUUCAUUAUAAAGAAUAGAGAAGGGGAGCUUAAAUACAAAUUGUUCUUUGAUAAACAUCAUCCGAAGACUAUUACCUUGCAUGUUCCUUCCUUGUUUGAUUUAUCUGCAGGCCAGUACCUUGUCUCGCCAAAGGACAUUCACGCCUACCGGAACCCUGCACCAGCCACAGAGCCAGAGUCGAAACCACCAGUUGAUCCUCCACGACAGUCUAAUUACCAGUGGGAUCUGGAGAUGAUUGCCAACCAGUAG